AAGAAGAGAAAGGUCAGCAGAAAUGACGGGAGGAGGAAGAGGAAAACUGGAAGGAGUGAAAAAAAAAGGAGAGAAGAAACGUGGAACUAAGCGAGACAGCUGAAAAAAUGACUCACAAGAUGCAAGUGAUGCAACAGUUCUCACAACAGCACAAAUUCACCCGUCUUUCAUGUAAGUAUUUCACAGUCCUGCUUUCCAGGACAACGACACAGAUCCUUGUUAUCCACGAUGUUAUGAAGCCUAUUGGUGAGGAGUUCAGUAUUGAUUAGUUCUAGCCCCAGUAUUUAGUUUUCUGGGUGAAUGCCACCGAGAUAGCGAGGUGCCUGCUGAGCACAAGGGCACAGCCAAGCCUCCAGCUAUGCAUCCCUUUGUUUUAGUUUGCUCGUGCCACGCUUUGAGGAUGGUUUUAGCUUGCAAUGUUGUUUGUCUCUGGCUUUUUUUUUUUUCACGAGCGUUUGGUGAGGAUGUCAACACAUCACAGGGCUGGCUGUCCAUGGAUUCAUGUGGGAAGGAGAGAUGGUUGUCACUGCCAACAGCUCUAAUACAGACCUGAGCAGUCUCACUGCAAGCCUUCAGGAAAUCAGGUUCACUUGUUCAGUGCAUCUGGGUGCUUCUGAUUUGAUGCUAGCAGUGAUGUCAGUGACUUAGCAUCACUGCUGUUUGCUGACACCUUU
rnacentral:lncRNA from 1 species